rnacentral:rRNA from 1 species
GAGUUUGAUCUUGGCUCAGGAUGAACGCUGGCGGCGUGCCUAAUACAUGCAAGUCGAACGAACAGAUAAGGAGCUUGCUCCUUUGACGUUAGCGGCGGACGGGUGAGUAACACGUGGGUAACCUACCUAUAAGACUGGAAUAACUCCGGGAAACCGGGGCUAAUGCCGGAUAACAUGUUGAACCGCAUGGUUCUACAGUGAAAGACGGUC